GGGGGGUUGGGGGGGGAGAAUAUGGGGAGAUAAGUGAGAUACCAGCCGAGCUUUCGGGGUGGGGGGUGCUUGAGAGGAUAUGUAUGUGUGUGCGAGGUCUGGAUGGUGCUGUGCGUGUGGACUUGGAUCAGACACGGGAGACACACGGAGGAGAGAAAAGCUCCGUGCUGGCACGACCCAGGCAAUCGGUUUAGGCACUAAAGCACAUCUGAUGAGAAUCCUGCCGCGUGGAGCUGCAGGGAGGCCGGCAGAUGGUUGUGUCCUACCAGAAUGUGCAAGAAGAUUCUUUCUCACCUGGCAAAGGAAUGGGAAGCAAAUAAACCAAAUCAGGUGA
rnacentral:lncRNA from 1 species